CCCAAUAGAAUUAACACCUUAAUUAUAAGAAACAACAGAUAUUCAAAGAACAAUUAUUUAAAUAAAGAACAAGUCUCACAAUUAUAUAUAUGGAAAUUGAAUGCCUUGAACUGAACUAAGAAAUUAGUCACUCAUAUUCAUGCCUUUCAAUCACUAAAACAAAAGAAAACGAAACAAACUCUCAAAUUAGAUGGUGAACUAUGUGGGAAGAAAAACGUGCCUCUGCUGCUUCAGAAUCGCAACUAUAUAUAGCCUCUCAAAAGACCCAAAGAAUCUCUAGUUACUUGGAAACUUUAAAAAACAGUCAACAAAAAUCUUUAUUGUUCUGAUUUCUCUCCCAUUUUGCAGCAACUUCCUUUUCGAAUCUGAUUCUGACUUCUUCAACAAACUUGCAGAUUUCCUUCUCACCUUUCUAACGAACUAAGGCUCGCCCAAAACGGACACUCACAGCAGAAGAUACGACCUAAAAACCAGAUCAGGUUGAA
rnacentral:lncRNA from 1 species